AUGCAUCUAUUUGACAGACCCGGAGCAGUUCCUGUCUGCUGCUAAGGUUCCUGUGCAGAUGCAAGACAAAAGAGUCCUCACGCUUUCUUCCUGUCUGUGGCAGUCAAAAUUGAAUGGGGGGAGUACAGAG
ensembl:snoRNA